CCGGCGGGUGAGUGGACGACUAGACGAACGCCAGCUCCAGUUCCCUCGCUCUAAGUGCACCGUGUUUUGUACUUUGCGUCCUCCUCUUUAGUUCUUAAAGGUGGGGAGGGAGAAGGAAACACAAAGGAAAACCAGUUAUCGCUUUUCCGCGUGGCAGACAAAACUCCACAAAACGCCGUCUAGUGGCAGAAUUGGCCGGGAAAGGCAAGCCAGUUUCAUUCUCCCUUGAAUUUUCAUUUUUAUUGGAACUUUGAAGCCUCUUUACAUGUCAAACUGCAAAAGGGACACAGCACAGUCUCUGCGUGGUGGUAAAUUUAGUCCCAUAGCCUGAGCCCGGCCCAGAUUAAACAAGAAUCUUAAACCAUUUUUCUGCCUUUUUCCUAGGUCACCUUUCUUUGGAGACAAAAGUGCAAAAAUGACGGAAGUCAAAUUUCAAAGUACCUCGCUCUGGCGGAGAGGUAAAGGCAGAGUUCUUCGGACACCUUCACUAAGGUGUUUGGGCAGAUUCUCCUCAGCUAUGUGUGUGCAUUAGGGGCACUUGGUAAUUAUUUCAUGCAACUAAUUGAGGAGAAAUGAGGAACCCAUCACUAUGGAGUAUUUCAUGUUUCCAGAGCCUCCUAGAAUGGUUUUAAUUAUCUCACAAGAAAAUAGAAGAGAGAAAGAACGAAAGGAGAAAAAGAAAAACAAAGAAAGGAAAGGAAUAAAAGGUUAAGCAUGAACUGGUUUUGUGCCUUGUCGAUAAGAAUAAAAACUAGCCAUUCAUUACAAUAAAUUAACACUAUGUACAAUCAUUUCACAGGCUUUGUUCCACUAAAAUUGUUAAUAUCCCUACCAUCCAUCCAUCCAUCCAUCCACUCCAGGAUAAGAAAGGACGCGCUGGGUGAGUCCAGGUUCUAGAGUCAACAUCUUAUGGUUAAUGGAGAGGCCGAGACAAGGCGGGUCGGAAUCGCUGCUGCCUGACAGGUCUGCCCAGGUCUCCUAAGGGUGAAGAGUUUCCUUACAAGAAAGAGAAGGAGGGGGUGAGAAAAAGUCGAGGUGGGAGGAUGUGUUAGGAGAGUGAGC